CAUGCAUGUUUAGGCCUUUAGCUUAGGAGUCUUCUCUGAAACUGAAACAUCAAUACUGUGCAACCCAAUGUCAUGACAGACCAUGAAGUAGAAACACUGGUCCACAGCACAAAAAUUACAUAAUUACGUUUUCCAUACAACUUUGGUGUUAGUUCAUUUAACAAGUCAACAGUUCAUGUCACAAUACAUCGAGAGGGUUCAUAUGGUCUUAAAUGCUUCUUAUCCAUGAACCUCCAUACAACAGAUAACUAGCUUGAGACUUGUCACGUGCAUUGUUCCAGUCCUUGAACUUUUAUUAACUUCUCCCAACUCCUACUUUUCUACUGUUCUCUCACCUUUGAAAAGUUAAGGUUACAAUUAAUGUACAUGCUUAGGUCUAAACAUUAGAAAAUGCAAGGAUAGGGAGUUAUUAAGCCUACAUGGUUACAGCUUACACAUUUUA